rnacentral:lncRNA from 1 species
AGAAGACAAUAACAGAGCUCAGGAUUUCUCAUGAAUUCCCUUCCCAUCUCCAGCUGAUUUAAAAGAGCUAUUUUCAGGCUUUCCUGAGAAGCACAAAAGAGAAGAGUGAAAGGGUUGGACCAGAACGGCUAUCCAGAGAAUUCUCUUGCCUAGCAAAAGAAGAAUUAUGGCAAAAAGAAAGUUCAGCGACAUAAAAGAAGUUUGUGGCACAGGCUGGUCCUAAGUAGAUUGACCUUAUCUACCACACAAAUCGUGAAGUGGCCUGGAAAACCAUCCUGACCUUAGUUCUGCAAGGUGGGCAGGAUGCACUACUGCAGACCCAAGGCUUCAUCCAUCCAGAUUUUAAAGAUGCUGUAGAGAUCCUUAUUGUUAUGAAGACAAGUCCUGCAGAUGUGCAGCCACUAGAGACAGCAUCUGUUAGUGAAGCUUUGGAGGAACAACUCUUGGGACCCCUGAACUGCAGAGUCAAAUGCACUCAAUGAUGGACACCCACUUCCUGCCCUUC